AUUGGGUCUCGGGAAUUUUCACCAAGAAACUUAAUUUCUUAGUACCUCAUUUUUGACUCUCCUGCCUCUGAUCCCUAGGGUAUGCUCUUUUUUUUCUCCAGGCUUUCAACACAGAGAUGCUUCUGAGAUGUACCCACCACCCGCUAGCCCAUUUCCUAAGUUGAGUCUCUUCAGAAAAGAAGUCUCUCCUGAUGACCUCACUGCAAUUCUAAAAUGCAGUGGGUCAUCUGGGGUCCCAAGCAUCAUCGAAAAAUGUCAUUUGAAUCGGUCUUAUUAGCAGAGUGCAUGAGCUGUUGAUGCAGCCUACUCACACACAAGUCAGGGAUUUAAUUCUGGAUCUGAGUAUCGCUUGUCAAAUGGGAGGUUUGAGAAUGAAUCCAGAGCAAAUGUCAGCAUCUCCAUUAUGGAAUGGCUUUGGAAAAAUCCAGGCUUCUUCUCCAGUGCUCCACUCCUGAAUGGCUGUUAGAUGUAAUGUAAACGCACAGCUUCCCUGCCUCACUGGUCGAAGCUCAUCACGAGCCUGGUGAGACCAGAAGAAAAAUGCCAGAACAAAAUAGUGAAGAAGUAUUUCUUUCUUCAGAAAUGUCUGCUCGCAACAGACUGGCUGGAAGGACACGUAAGUCAACAGGUUUCUGCUGCAGGUUGAUUUAAGGACAGAUUUGCCUUUUACCUUUGGAUAUACUCAUUUCAUAUGCUUUGUAUUAUGCUGGCUCUUUCAUGAACGAAGGCACCUAGUUAGCUAAUGAUGUACGAG
rnacentral:lncRNA from 1 species